rnacentral:rRNA from 1 species
GCCCGCUCAAGAACUACAAAGGAAUUGACGGGGGCCCGCACAAGCGGUGGAGUAUGUGGUUUAAUUCGAUGCAACGCGAAGAACCUUACCUGGUCUUGACAUCCCGGAGACCCUUAGGAAACUAGGGGGUGCUUCCAUCUGGAAGAAUCUGGAGACAGGUGCUGCAUGGCUGUCGUCAGCUCGUGUCGUGAGAUGUUGGGUUAAGUCCCGCAACGAGCGCAACCCUUGCCUUUAGUUGCCAGCAGUUCGGCUGGGCACUCUAAAGGGACUGCCGGUGUUAAACCGGAGGAAGGUGGGGAUGACGUCAAGUCCUCAUGGCCUUUAUGACCAGGGCUACACACGUACUACAAUGGCCGAUACAAAGGGCAGCGACACUGCGAGGUGAAGCCAAUCCCGUAAAAUCGGUCUCAGUCCGGAUUGGAGUCUGCAACUCGACUCCAUGAAGUUGGAAUCGCUAGUAAUCGUGGAUCAGCAUGCCACGGUGAAUACGUUCCCGGGCCUU